rnacentral:rRNA from 1 species
GACGAACGCUGGCGGCGUGCUUAACACAUGCAAGUCGAACGGAAAGGCCCUGCUUUUGUGGGGUGCUCGAGUGGCGAACGGGUGAGUAACACGUGAGUAACCUGCCCUUGACUUUGGGAUAACUUCAGGAAACUGGGGCUAAUACCGGAUAGGAGCUCCUGCUGCAUGGUGGGGGUUGGAAAGUUUCGGCGGUUGGGGAUGGACUCGCGGCUUAUCAGCUUAUUGGUGGGGUAGUGGCUUACCAAGGCUUUGACGGGUAGCCGGCCUGAGAGGGUGACCGGCCACAUGGGGACUGAGAUACGGCCCAGACUCCUACGGGAGGCAGCAGUGGGGAAUAUUGCACAAUGGGCGGAAGCCUGAUGCAGCAACGCCGCGUGCGGGAGGACGGCCUUCGGGUUGUAAACCGCUUUCGCCUGUGACGAAGCGUGAGUGACGGUAAUGGGUAAAGAAGCACCGGCUAACUACGU